rnacentral:snRNA from 1 species
AUACCAAUAUACAAAAAAAUUGGAACGAUACAGAGAAGAUUAGCAUGGCCCCUGCGCAAGAAGGACACUCAAAUUUUGUGAAGCAUUCCAUAUUUAA